rnacentral:lncRNA from 1 species
AGGGAUUCAAGCUUGUUGGUAUCAAAGUUAUUGUUCCUUCUAAAGAUUUCGCGCAAAAGCAUUACCAUGAUCUUAAGGAAAGACCUUUCUUCAAUGGCUUGUGUGACUUCCUUAGCUCUGGUCCUGUUAUUGCCAUGGUAAGAUAUCAGAGAAACACGCCAUUAGUCUUUUUGAAUUUGAUAACUCAACUACACAAGUGUCGUCUAACAUGACUUGUUUUAGGUUUGGGAAGGAGAAGGAGUGAUCAGAUACGGACGUAAACUGAUUGGAGCCACCGAUCCUCAGAAAUCUGAGCCUGGAACCAUCCGAGGAGAUCUUGCAGUCACUGUUGGCAGGUUUGUUCUCUUUUAUUCUUUAAACCAAUUCAAAUUAGGACGUCUCAAAGGAAUUGGUAAUUGAAAUGUGAAAUUGCAGGAACAUUAUCCAUGGAAGUGAUGGACCAGAGACAGCAAAGGAUGAGAUCAAUUUGUGGUUUAAGCCUCAAGAACUUGUUUCUUACACCAACAACUCUGAGAAGUGGCUCUAUGGUGACAACUAAAUCCUCUCUCUCUCUGUCCCUCGUCUUUUCAAACAAAGAACAUUGUUAUUCUCUCUUUUCUUACCCAUACAAUAAAAACGAGACACAGUUGUAACG